rnacentral:misc_RNA from 1 species
GCAGUGGGCCCCGAUGAUGAUUUGGAGGACAUCAAGGAUACUGUAAUGCAAGACAUGGAGAAAGUUAUGGGAAGGAUUGAUAAGAGUGGCGAGGGUGUAUAUGUGCAGGCCUCUACCCUUGGUUCACUGGAAGCACUUACCGAGUUCUUAAAAAGCCCAGCUGUGAACAUCCCUUUUAGUGAUUUCAGUAUAGGUCCAGUACACAAGAAGGAUG